rnacentral:rRNA from 1 species
GUCGUGAGAUGUUGGGUUAAGUCCCGCAACGAGCGCAACCCUUGUCAUUAGUUGCUACAUUUAGUUGGGCACUCUAAUGAGACUGCCGGUGACAAACCGGAGGAAGGUGGGGAUGACGUCAAGUCCUCAUGGCCCUUAUAGCUCGGGGCUACACACGUCAUACAAUGGCUGGUACAAAGGGUUGCCAACCCGCGAGGGGGAGCUAAUCCCAUAAAACCAGUCGUAGUCCGGAUCGCAGUCUGCAACUCGACUGCGUGAAGUCGGAAUCGCUAGUAAUCGUGGAUCAGAAUGUCACGGUGAAUACGUUCCCGGGUCUUGUACACACCGCCCGUCACACCAUGGGAGCGGGUUCUGCCAGAAGUAGUUAG